UACAGAGGGUGCAAGCGUUGUUCGGAAUUAUUGGGCGUAAAGCGCGUGUAGGCGGCUUUGCAAGUCGGGUGUGAAAUCCCUCAGCUCAACUGAGGAAGUGCGCCCGAAACUGCUUAGCUUGAGUGCCGGAGAGGAUGGCGGAAUUCCCCAAGUAGAGGUGAAAAUUCGUAGAUAUGGGGAGGAACACCGGUGGCGAAGGCGGCCAAUCUGGACGGUAACUGACGCUGAGACGCGAAAAGCGUGGGUAGCAAACGAGG
rnacentral:rRNA from 1 species